AAGAAGUAAACUGUGAGUUCCCGUGCCAACGUUUGACUGUCCGUCUUAUAUGAAAUUUUUUUAUAAUUAGUAUUUUUAUUGUUGUUAGAUGAUAAAACAUGAUUAAUACUUUAUGUGUGACUUAUCUUUUUAAUUUUUUUUAUAUUUUUUCAAAUAAGACGGACGGUCAAACGUUGGACACGGAAAUCAGGGUUUGUCUUUUU
rfam:Oryza sativa Japonica Group DNA, chromosome 4, cultivar: Nipponbare, complete sequence.